rnacentral:misc_RNA from 1 species
CUGAGAAAUUGCCCUUCGGGGUAUAUCUCCCACCCUAUGUUUAUAUUACCUUUGUUGCUUUGGCAGGCCCGUCUUUUGACCACCGGCUUAGGCUGGUCAGUGUUUGCCAGAGGAUACUAAACUCUUGAUAUUUUGUUGUCUGAGUAAAUAUAAUAAGUUA